AGAGCGAACGCUGGCGGCAGGCCUAACACAUGCAAGUCGAGCGCCGUAGCAAUACGGAGCGGCAGACGGGAGAGUAACACGUGGGAACGUACCCUUUGGUUCGGAACAACCCAGGGAAACUUGGGCUAAUACCGAAUAAGCCCUUACGGGGAAAGAUUUAUCGCCGAAGGAUCGGCCCGCGUCUGAUUAGCUAGUUGGUGGGGUAACGGCCCACCAAGGCGACGAUCAGUAGCUGGUCUGAGAGGAUGAUCAGCCUCAUUGGGACUGAGACACGGCCCAAACUCCUACGGGAGGCAGCAGUGGGGAAUAUUGGACAAUGGGCGCAAGCCUGAUCCAGCCAUGCCGCGUGGGUGAUGAAGGCCCUAGGGUUGUAAAGCCCUUUCGGCGGAGAAGAUAAUGACGGUACCGCAGAAGAGCCCGGCUAACUUCGCGCCAGCAGCCGC
rnacentral:rRNA from 1 species